rnacentral:lncRNA from 1 species
GGGAGGCUAGGGAUAGGAAGCCAGUAAUUAGUAUUAGGCUUUUUUCGCCGAGGGAUCGGGUUAAGGGUAGGCUAAGAAAGUUGCAUGACAAUUAAUUAAUCAAACUAAUAAAUCAAGAGGAGUAAAUAAGAGAGAGCGGAUAGGAUGAAAUUGUAAACCCCCAACAACUCCAUUCAUCCAUUGUUUUCUUCUUAAAAAUUGAAUCAAUCUCUUUUGCAUGUUCAUAUUUUAUUCAAACAUCCAAUUAAUUAAUUUUUAUUUUCAAGUC